rnacentral:rRNA from 1 species
GAUGAACGCUGGCGGCGUGCCUAAUACAUGCAAGUCGAGCGAACAGACGAGGAGCUUGCUCCUCUGACGUUAGCGGCGGACGGGUGAGUAACACGUGGAUAACCUACCUAUAAGACUGGGAUAACUUCGGGAAACCGGAGCUAAUACCGGAUAACAUGUUGAACCGCAUGGUUCAACAGUGAAAGACGGUCUUGCUGUCACUUAUAGAUGGAUCCGCGCCGCAUUAGCUAGUUGGUAAGGUAACGGCUUACCAAGGCAACGAUGCGUAGCCGACCUGAGAGGGUGAUCGGCCACACUGGAACUGAGACACGGUCCAGACUCCUACGGGAGGCAGCAGUAGGGAAUCUUCCGCAAUGGGCGAAAUCCUGGCGGAGCAACGCCGCGUGAGUGAAGAAGGUCUUCGGAUCGUAAAACUCUGUUAUUAGGGAAGAACAAAUGUGUAAGUAACUAUGCACGUCUUGACGGUACCUAAUCAGAAAGCAACGGCUAACUACGUG